rnacentral:rRNA from 1 species
GGGUAGCAAUACCGCUGACGAGUGGCGCACGGGUGCGUAACGCGUAUGCAACCUACCUUUAACAGGAAGAUAGCCCCGAGAAAUUGGGAUUAAUAUUCCAUAAGAUCUCAGAAUCGCAUGAUUUAGAGAUUAAAGUUCCGACGGUUAAAGAUGGGCAUGCGUGACAUUAGCUAGUUGGUAAGGUAACGGCUUACCAAGGCAACGAUGUCUAGGGGUCCUGAGAGGGUUAUCCCCCACACUGGUACUGAGACACGGACCAGACUCCUACGGGAGGCAGCAGUGAGGAAUAUUGGGCAAUGGACGCAAGUCUGACCCAGCCAUGCCGCGUGCAGGAAUGACGGCCCUAUGGGUUGUAAACUGCUUUUGUGUGGGAAGAAACCCAUCUACGUGUAGGUGGCUGACGGUACCAUAUGAAUAAGGAUCGGCUAACUCCGUGCCAGCAGCCGCGGUAAUACGGAGGAUCCGAGCGUUAUCCGGAUUUAUUGGGUUUAAAGGGUGCGCAGGCGGGCAUAUAAGUCAGUGGUGAAAUCUCUCGGCUCAACUGAGAAACUGCCAUUGAUACUGUAUGUCUAGAGUACAGAUGAGGUAGGCGGAAUGUGUCAUGUAGCGGUGAAAUGCUUAGAUAUGACACAGAACACCGAUUGCGAAGGCAGCUUACCAAACUGUUACUGACGCUCAUGCACGAAAGCGUGGGGAGCGAACAGGAUUAGAUACCCUGGUAGUCCACGCCGUAAACGAUGAUUACUCGAUGUUGGCGAUAUACAGUCAGCGUCUUAGCGAAAGUGUUAAGUAAUCCACCUGGGGAGUACGAUCGCAAGGUUGAAACUCAAAGGAAUUGACGGGGGCCCGCACAAGCGGAGGAGCAUGUGGUUUAAUUCGACGAUACGCGAGGAACCUUACCUAGACUUAAA